GUGCUCGCUUCAGCAGUACAUAUACUAAAAUUGAGGCGAUACAGAGACGAUUAGCAUGGCCCCUGCACAAGGACAACACAUGUCUUGGUUAUUUUUCUCUCAUUGCU
rnacentral:snRNA from 1 species